rnacentral:rRNA from 1 species
UACAGAGGUCGCAAGCGUUGUUCGGAUUCAUUGGGCGUAAAGGGUGCGUAGGUGGCGCGGUAAGUCGGGUGUGAAAUUUCGGAGCUUAACUCCGAAACUGCAUUCGAUACUGCCGUGCUUGAGGACUGGAGAGGAGACUGGAAUUUACGGUGUAGCAGUGAAAUGCGUAGAUAUCGAGAGGAACACCUGCGGCGAAGGCGGGUUGCUGGGCUGACACUGACGCUGAACUGCGAAAGCUAGGGGAGCGAACGGG